UGCAAGUUGGGAGCCGGUCGGGUCCGCCUGAUCGGUCACGCCAGCAAGUUCGGCCGGGAGCUGGGAGGAAAUGUCAACGAGUUGGCCGCCCACUAAAAUCUUCAUGAUGUCGAAGCCUUCAUAUUCUAAAAGUGACUGGAAGAAAUAGUGACACUGAGCGAUCCCCUGCUCAAAACCUCGUUGGCGCUCUUCACAAAACUCGUCCUCCAAGGCGGCAUACUCGGCCAAUGACUUGUCCCGGUCGGCAAUGGCAGUAGCUUUUUGAGAAGUUAACUGCUUGAUCUGAUCGGAAGAUUGCUGAAGAUUGACAGUUAGAGAGUCCACUGAUUGCUGAAGGCGUUUCGCCUCAUUUUGGGACUCCAGGAGGGAGGCAGCAGCUUUCAACCGAUCAUCCUCUGC
rnacentral:lncRNA from 1 species